rnacentral:rRNA from 1 species
AUGGCGUCCCAGCCACCACCUCCAUCCCAAGAGAUCGAUCUGGGGGCCUUCCUCCCGUUGUCUCCAGCCUCCUCAUUUGCCUCCGAGGCCGACGCUGAUCACCGCCGUGCCGUCGACGAUCUGCUCCUCCUCCUCUCGUCCGAAGAUGACGACGACGACGACGAGACAACCGGUACACCCAGCACCGACCACAAAGCCCUGACCCGUAGCAAAGCCCCACCGCCGCCCCGUGAGCUCGAUCCGGAGGCCUUCCUCCAGCCGUCUCCCGGCUCCUCCUCAGGUUCCGACGCGGACGCCGAUCACCGCCGGGCCGUCGACGACCUGCUCCUCCAACUCUCCUCGUCACACACCGACGACGGCGAGCUGCAGGAUCCCUUGUUGGACAUGGCUGAUGCCUGUACCAUCCUCACCAGCACCGUGCGCUCUGUGCAGCUGUUCAAGAUUGAAGGUUUGAAAGCGUUGUGCUCGCAGCCCGGUCUGGAUAAGCAGUGCGUCAAAUCAAAGUGUGAGGUCGGUGGGUAUGAGUGGGAAAUCCUUUGCUAUGUACCCACUUAUUCCACCUCUUGGCUAGACUUCUGCCUUAUGUUAUUGAGUGAAGCCCCCCGGUCUGGCUCUGUGACAGCAAGCAUAAGCUGUCAACUGGUACAUCCGAGGGUGCCGGGCAAUCCACCAGACCCUGUUCUGCACAGAGCACCACAUUCUGAGGUGACUAUCUCACAUGUGUUCAAGCGCCACAAAGAUUGCUCACAUCGGGCAAUGAUCGUGCAAAAGAAAUCUCUACCGGAGCCGGCAUGUCCUGAUGAUGAUUACUUGAGUGUGGAGUGCAUCAUCACUAUUCUGAAGGAAAAUCCUGAUGUGGCAACCGCACUUCGGGUGCCGGCCUCCAACUUGCAGCAGCACCUUGGUGAGCUCCUGCAGAGCAAGACGGGAUCCGAUGUUACGUUCCUCGUCUCGGGUGAGUCCUUUCUUGCACACAAGAAUAUCCUUGCUGCGAGGUCACCUGUCCUCAUGGCUGAGUUCUUCGGGAGCAUGAGGGAGAGCAGCGCUCAACAAGUCGUGAUCGAUGACAUGGAGGCGGAAGCAUUCAAGGCCAUGCUGCACUUCAUCUACACCGACAAAGUUCCUGAAUUUGAUUGGGAGCAGGAGGCUGCAGUUACAAUGGCUCAACAUCUGCUUGCGGCGGCUGACAGGUAUGGGCUGGGCAAGCUCAAGGUUAUGUGCGAGGACAAACUUUCAGGUGACCUUACUAUAGAUACAGCGGGUACUACUUUGGCAUUAGCUGAGCAGCACAACUGCUCUGACCUCAAGGCUAGUUGCAUCGAGUUCAUCCUCAGCAGCCCUACGAUACUUGAAGCGGUGGUGGCGACGGAGGGGUAUAAGAAUCUGGAGGCAAGCUGUCCUGCUAUUAUUAGCUUCAUUGUGCGUGGGAGAAGCAACUGA